rnacentral:ncRNA from 3 species
UGACUGAACGCCUCUAAGUCAG